rnacentral:tRNA from 1 species
UCUAAUAUGGCAGACUAGUGCAGUGGAUUUAAACUCCUCAAAUAAAGAUAACACUUUUUUUAGAA